rnacentral:rRNA from 1 species
AUUGAACGCUGGCGGCAUGCUUUACACAUGCAAGUCGAACGGCAGCACGGGUGCUUGCACCUGGUGGCGAGUGGCGAACGGGUGAGUAAUGCAUCGGAACGUACCGAGUAAUGGGGGAUAACGCAGCGAAAGUUGUGCUAAUACCGCAUACGCCCUGAGGGGGAAAGUGGGGGAUCGCAAGACCUCACGUUAUUCGAGCGGCCGAUGUCUGAUUAGCUAGUUGGUGGGGUAAAGGCUCACCAAGGCGACGAUCAGUAGCUGGUCUGAGAGGAUGAUCAGCCACACUGGGACUGAGACACGGCCCAGACUCCUACGGGAGGCAGCAGUGGGGAAUUUUGGACAAUGGGCGCAAGCCUGAUCCAGCCAUGCCGCGUGAGUGAAGAAGGCCUUCGGGUUGUAAAGCUCUUUCAGUGGGAACGAAACGGCGGACUCUAACAUAGUCUGCUAAUGACGGUACCCACAGAAGAAGCACCGGCUAACUACGUGCCAGCAGCCGCGGUAAUACGUAGGGUGCGAGCGUUAAUCGGAAUUACUGGGCGUAAAGCGUGCGCAGGCGGUUUCUUAAGCCAGAUGUGAAAGCCCCGGGCUUAACCUGGGAAUUGCGUUUGGAACUGGGAGACUGGAGUGUGGCAGAGGGAGGUAGAAUUCCACGUGUAGCAGUGAAAUGCGUAGAGAUGUGGAGGAAUACCGAUGGCGAAGGCAGCCUCCUGGGCCAACACUGACGCUCAUGCACGAAAGCGUGGGGAGCAAACA